CACUGAUUUAUUUAAUGGCCGCGGUAUUUUGACCGUGCAAAGGUAGCAUAAUAAUUUGUCUUUUAAUUGAAGGCUUGUAUGAAUGGUUGGACGAGAAAAUUACUUUCUUUAUAAUAUAUUUAUUAAUUUUAUUUUUUAGUUAAAAAGCUAAAAUUUUGUUGUAGGACGAGAAGACCCUGUAGAACUUUAUAUUUAUUUUUGUAUUAAUAUUUUUGGUUUAUUAUAUAUUAUAUUUUUAUAAUUAUUUUGUUGGGGCGACAAGAAAAUUUAUUUAACUUUUUUUUAUUAAUUUCAUUAAUUAAUGUAUAAAUGAUCCUUUAAUAUGGAUAAUUAGAAUAAGUUACCUUAGGGAUAACAGCGUAAUUUUUUUGGAGAGUUCUUAUCGAUAAAAAAGUUU
rnacentral:rRNA from 1 species